CACGUAGGGCGCGAGCGUUGUCCAGAAUUAUUGGGCGUAAAGAGCUCGUAGGCGGCCUGUUGCGUCCGCUGUGAAAGCCCGGGGCUUAACCCCGGGUCUGCAGUGGAUACGGGCAGGCUAGAGGUAGGUAGGGGAGAAUGGAAUUCCCGGUGUAGCGGUGAAUGCGCAGAUAUCGGGAGGAACACCGGUGGCGAAGGCGGUU
rnacentral:rRNA from 1 species